GACGAACGCUGGCGGCGUGCUUAAUACAUGCAAGUCGAACGGAAAGGCCCUGCUCUUGCGGGGUGCUCGAGUGGCGAACGGGUGAGUAACACGUGAGUAACCUGCCCUUGACUUUGGGAUAACUCCAGGAAACUGGGGCUAAUACCGGAUAGGAGCUCCUGCUGCAUGGUGGGGGUUGGAAAGUUUCGGCGGUUGGGGAUGGACUCGCGGCUUAUCAGCUUGUUGGUGGGGUAGUUGCUUACCAAGGCUUUGACGGGUAGCCGGCCUGAGAGGGUGACCGGCCACAUUGGGACUGAGAUACGGCCCAGAAGCCAACGGGCGGCAGCAGUGGGGAAUAUUGCGGAAUGGGCGGAAGCCUGAUGCAGCAACGCCGCGUGCGGGAUGACGGCCUUCGGGUUGUAAACAGCUUUCGCCUGUGACGAAGAGUGAGUGACGGUAAUGGGUAAAGAAGCACCGGCUAACUACGUG
rnacentral:rRNA from 1 species